ensembl:lncRNA
UCUACACUGGGUCUAUCUACUGUCUAUAGAAACUGUAAUCUACACUACACUGGGUCUAUCUACUGUCUAUAGAAACUGUAAUCUACACUGGGUCUAUCUACUGUCUAUAGAAACUGUAAUCAACACUACACUGGGUCUAUCUACUGUCUAUAGAAACUGUGAUCAACACUACACUGGGUCUAUCUACUGUCUAUAGAAACUGUAAUCUACACUGGGUCUAUCUACUGUCUAUAGAAACUGUAAUCUACACUGGGUCUAUCUACUGUCUAUAGAAACUGUGAUCAACACUACACUGGGUCUAUCUACUGUCUAUAGAAACUGUGAUCAACACUACACUGGGUCUAUCUACUGUCUAUAGAAACUGUAAUCUACACUGGGUCUAUCUACUGUCUAUAGAAACUGUGAUCAACACUGGGUCUAUCUACUGUCUAUAGAAACUGUGAUCAACACUGGGUCUAUCUACUGUCUAUAGAAACUGUGAUCAACACUGGGUCUAUCUACUGUCUAUAGAAACUGUGAUCAACACUGGGUCUAUCUACUGUCUAUAGAAACUGUGAUCAACACUGGCCCCUGUGAAGAUGUGGAGGUAAGAGGUUCAAAAGUAUCUAUAUCCACAGUAAAACGAGUCCUAAAUCGACAACCCGAAAGGCCGCUCCACAAGGAAGAAGCUACUGCUCCAAAACCGCCAUAAAAAAGCCUGACUACUGUUUGCAACUGAACAUUGGGACAAAGAUCGUACUUUUUGUAGAAAUGUCCUCUGGUCUGAUGAAACAAAAAUAGAACUGUUUGGCCAUAAUUACCAUCAAUAUGUUUGGAGGAAAAAGGGGGAGGCUUGCAAGCCGAAGAUCACCAUCCCAACCGUGAAGCACGGGGUGGCAGCAUCAUGUUGUGGGGGUGCUUUGCUGCAGGAGGGACUGGUGCACUUCACAAAAUAGAUGGCAUCAUGAGGCAGGAAAAUGAUGUGGAUAUAUUGAGGCAACAUCUCAAGACAUCGGUCAGGAAGUUAAAGCUUGGUCGCAAAUGGGUCUUCUAAAUGGACAAUGACCCCAAGCAUACUUCCAAUGCUGUGGCAAAAUGGCUUAAGGACAACAAAGUCAAGGUAUUGGAGUGGCCAUUACAAAGCCCUGACCUCAAUCCUAUAGAAAAAUUUGUGGGCAGAACUGAAAAAGCGUGCGAGCAAGGAGGCCUACAAACCUGACUCAGUUACACCAGCUGUUUUUAUUUCAUUUAUUUAUUUCUCCUUUAUUUAACCAGGUAGGCUAGUUGAGAACAAGUUCUCAUUUGCAACUGCGACCUGGCCAAGAGAAAGCGUAGGAAUUCGACACAUACAACAACACAGAGUUACACAUGGAAUAAACAAAACAUACAGUCAAUAAUACAGUAGAGCAAAAGAAAACAAAAAGUCUAUAUACAGUGAGUGCAAAUGAGGUAAGUUAAGGAAAUAAAUAGGCCAUGGUGGCGAAGUAAUUACAAUAUAGCAAUUAAACACUGGAAUGGUAGAUCGGCAGAAGAUGAAUGUGCAGGUCGAGAUACUGGGGUGCAAAGGAGCAAAAUAAAUAAAUACCAGUAUGGGGAUGAGGUAGGUAGAUAGAUAGCCCAUCUGUAAACAGCCUGUGUACAGGUGCAGUGAUCUGUGAGCCGCACUGACAGCUGGUGUUUAAAGUGAGGGAGAUGUGAGGCUUCAGAGAUUUUUGCAGUUCUUUCCAGUCAUUGGCAGCAGAGAACUGGAAGGAAAGACGACCAAAGGAGGAACUGGUUUUGGGGGUGACCAGUGAGAUAUACCUGCUGGAGCGCGUGCUUCAGGUGGGUGUUGCUAUGGUGACCAGUGAGAUAUACCUGCUGGAGCGCAUGCUACAGGUGGGUGUUGCUAUGGUGACCAGUGAGAUAUACCUGCUGGAGCGCAUGCUACAGGUGGGUGUUGCUAUGGUGACCAGUGAGAUAUACCUGCUGGAGCGCAUGCUACAGGUGGGGGUUGCUAUGGUGACCAGUGAGCUGAGAUAAGGCAGGGCUUUACCUAGCAGAGACUUGUAGAUAACCUGUAGCCAGUGGGUUUGGCGACUAGUAUGAAGCGAGGGCCAACCAACCAGAGCGUACAGGUCACAAUGGUGGGUAGUAUAUGGGGCUUUGGUGACAAAACGGAUGGCACUGUAAUAGACUGCAUCCAGUUUGCUGAGUAGAGUGUUGGAGGCUAUUUUAUAGAUGACAUCACCGAAGUCGAGGAUCGGUAGGAUGGUCAGUUUUACGAGGGUAUGUUUGGCAGCAUGAGUGAAGGAUGCUUUGUUGAGAUAUAGGAAGCAGAUUCUAGAUUUAAUUUUGGACUGGAGAUGCUUAAUGUGAGUCUGGAAAGAGGAAUGGGCCAAAAUUCACCCAACUUAUUGUGGGAAGCUUGUGGAAGGCUACCCAAAAUGUUUGACCCGAGUUAAACAAUUUAAAGGCAAUGCUACCAAAUACUAAUUGAGUUUAUAUAAACUUCUGACCCACUGGGCAUGUGAUGAAAGAAAUAAAAGCUGAAUUAAAUAAUUCUCUACUAUUAUUCUAACAUUUCACAUUCUUAAAAAUGAAGUGGUGAUCCUAACUGACCAAAGACAGGGGAUUUUUACUAGGAUUAAAUGUCAGGAAUUGUGAAAAACUGAGUUUAAAGUUAUUUGGCUAAGGUGUAUGUAAACUUCUGACUUCAAUUGCAUGUGUACAUCUAAUAUGUGUGUAUAUAUAUAUAUAUAUGAAAGUUAAGUUAAUAAAU